AGAGUUUGAUCCUGGCUCAGGAUGAACGCUAGCUACAGGCUUAACACAUGCAAGUCGAGGGGAAACGACAUCGAAAGCUUGCUUUUGAUGGGCGUCGACCGGCGCACGGGUGAGUAACGCGUAUCCAACCUGCCCACCACUUGGGGAUAACCUUGCGAAAGUAAGACUAAUACCCAAUGAUAUCUCUAGAAGACAUCUGAAAGAGAUUAAAGAUUUAUCGGUGAUGGAUGGGGAUGCGUCUGAUUAGCUUGUUGGCGGGGUAACGGCCCACCAAGGCGACGAUCAGUAGGGGUUCUGAGAGGAAGGUCCCCCACAUUGGAACUGAGACACGGUCCAAACUCCUACGGGAGGCAGCAGUGAGGAAUAUUGGUCAAUGGACGAGAGUCUGAACCAGCCAAGUAGCGUGCAGGAUGACGGCCCUAUGGGUUGUAAACUGCUUUUAUAAGGGAAUAAAGUGAGUCUCGUGAGACUUUUUGCAUGUACCUUAUGAAUAAGGACCGGCUAAUUCCGUGCCAGCAGCCGCGGUAAUACGGAAGGUCCGGGCGUUAUCCGGAUUUAUUGGGUUUAAAGGGAGCGUAGGCCGGAGAUUAAGCGUGUUGUGAAAUGUAGACGCUCAACGUCUGCACUGCAGCGCGAACUGGUUUCCUUGAGUACGCACAAAGUGGGCGGAACUCGUGGUGUAGCGGUGAAAUGCUUAGAUAUCACGAAGAACUCCGAUUGCGAAGGCAGCUCACUGGAGCGCAACUGACGCUGAAGCUCGAAAGUGCGGGUAUCGAACAGGAUUAGAUACCCUGGUAGUCCGCACGGUAAACGAUGGAUGCCCGCUGUUGGUCUGAAUAGGUCAGCGGCCAAGCGAAAGCAUUAAGCAUCCCACCUGGGGAGUACGCCGGCAACGGUGAAACUCAAAGGAAUUGACGG
rnacentral:rRNA from 1 species